UACGAGGGGGGGCGAGCGUUGUUCGGAAUUAUUGGGCGUAAAGGGUGCGUAGGCGGUUUGGUAAGUCUGAUGUGAAAUCUAUGGGCUCAACUCAUAGUCUGCAUCGGAAACUGCCGGGCUUGAGUGUGGGAGAGGUGAGUGGAAUUCCUGGUGUAGCGGUGAAAUGCGCAGAUAUCAGGAGGAACACCUAUUGCGAAGGCAGCUCGCUGGGACGUAACUGACGCUGAGACGCGAAAGCGUGGGGAGCAAACAGG
rnacentral:rRNA from 1 species